UACGUAGGGGGCAAGCGUUAUCCGGAUUUACUGGGUGUAAAGGGAGCGUAGACGGCAAUACAAGUCGGAAGUGAAAUACCCGGGCUCAACCUGGGAACUGCUUUGGAAACUGUAUGGCUAGAGUGCUGGAGAGGUAAGCGGAAUUCCUAGUGUAGCGGUGAAAUGCAUAGAUAUCACGCAGAACUCCGAUUGCGAAGGCAGCUUACUAAGCCAUAACUGACACUGAAGCACGAAAGCGUGGGGAUCAAACAGG
rnacentral:rRNA from 1 species